rnacentral:lncRNA from 1 species
CAGAAUGGUUCUUUAAAUUACCGAUCGUAUGUGAUGGAUAAGUGGUUGAUUAUAUCAUAGAUAAAAGACUUGAGCACAAUUAUAAAUCAUUAGAAAAAUAAUAAAGAAAAGGGAAUUGAGCAUAAUGUCAGGCAAGAAUUAUUUUUGUAAGUCACCAUGUUCCAAUUGAAAAAUCCCUAGCAUACACCAUAUAUCAGACACUGUUUUUGAGGUACUCACCUUUUUCGCACCACUUUAAAGCAAAAUGUCUCAUAUAUGUUGUAUGGAUUUAUUUUACAGUUUUGGGUGUUUAAAGUUAGGUAGUGAUGAACGGUUUUCGAUGGUUGCUGUUAAAUACAGUAUAUUUUCAUGACACUGGGGAACAUAUAUAACUUGACAACACCAGUCUAAGGCAUGGACUUAAAGCCCUCGCGAAAUACUGUCGAUUUACACUUGGGUAAACAUAUGUUUCAUAUUAUGACUUGACACCGAGAUUUAACAUACACUACAAUAUCAAUAUAAUGGAAUAAUUUGAUGCGACUGCCAUACAAGUGAGACCAGGUUUUAUUCACCAUUUUCUACAUAAUAAAAUGCCUGUACCAAGUUAGGAAUAUGACAGAUGUUAUCAAUUCGUUUUGUGUGUUUGAGCUUUUGAUUUUGCCAUUUAAUUUACAGACUUUCCGUUUAGAAAUGUCAUCGGAGUUCAGUGUUUUUGUGAUUUUACUUUUAAAAAUGGAAAAAAUGCUGAUUUUUUCGAUUUUGUUCUUUUACUUAAGUUUGCCUCAACCAAAUGUUAUUGAAUUUAAUGAACAAUGAUUAUAUUACCACUAAGCACAGAUUAAUUUUAAAUUUGGUGACAUCACUUAUAUAUACCGUUCCAGACGUAUACCCUCUAUAAACGGAAAAAUUGCUGAAUUUCAGUAACGUCACUUUUACCGUUUUAUUUGGGCAUAUAAUCUACGUCAACAAUAUGCGCACAUACUAAAUAUCUUACAUGGAUAAUGAUAAUGUUGCUUUAGAUAAAUUUAGUUAAUGAUAAAAUUAAUAAAUUUCAUAAAGUAGGUUUGAAGAAUUAACAUAAGGAUUCGGACGGAUGCUUGACAAUUUCAAAAUUAUACAAUAACCUUGGAAGUCCAAGGAUACAGGGGAUCAGUUUGUUUAUAAAACCAUCAGAUAUAAGAGUAUAUAUUAUUUAUCUGGUAAUAGUACUGACACAAAUAUACCACAAUGAUCAACCAGAUUGUAGUGGAGUCCGUAAAACUUUACGGCUAUAUAUAGUGCAUUUUUAUAGAUAUAUUAUAACGAAAAGAUCUUAAUAGAUUAGAAGUAUUGUUUUGAAAACUGUUUACAGGAUUUUUGUUGUGCACGUUAACAUUUAUAUCAUACAUUUAUUUUUAUCCUUGAAUUGUAACGUUUUUCAGGGAGACCACCAGGUGUUUGCGACCAGAUAUUUGAAACCGAACAAAUUGAUAUGCAACAUUUCAUCCAUUCCUGUGAAUUCCUCUAUGACAGUUUGGGUAAAUAAAAGAUAUAGCCUUUGAUAAGCAUCUGCACAAUAGAAACACGUUAAGAUAGGACUAUUGUUGGUUUCUGUUAACUAUACAGUUGUACUGAUGAAUGUUUAGGUUGAUAUUGUGAUAUUGAGUAUACAUUAGCGAGACAGUAAUUCAACGACAGAUAACUAACAAAAAAAAACAACACCUAACUGCAAAUUAAAACACUCAACUAAUGUAUUGAUUUCUUAAUAAAUAUGUUUUUAGUAAUUCAAAUCGUUCUGUGCUUAAAAUGAUGUGAAUAAUAAUCCUAUUAAAGCUAUCAAAUCUACCAUUAGCACAAAAUUCUUCAAAUGAUAAAAAUAGAAUAUUCAUUUAUAAUUUAAUAAAAGAUGUCCUUUAAUUACAGGCUUAAUAUUUCUUUCAAUUUAAUGUCAUUUACAUAGUUUUACUGUGUGUUACCUUAAUUUGACUGCGGUGGUAUAAAUUAAUUGUAUGACGUUGUUGUCGUCGUAGUCGUCGUCGUAGUCGUCGUCGUCGUCGUCGCCCAAAGACAUUUAGUUUUCAGACAAUAACUUGUGUUCAAGUGUAUGGAUCUCUAAAUGAAUGUACCACACAGUGCCUUAUCACUAAAGUGGGGUUGAUGUUAAUUUGGAGGGGGUAUUGUUUUAACUGUUCAGAAAGGGCACAAAGAGAGACCGAAAAAAAAUCAGGAAUCAGGGAUAGAACGGGUUAAAAAAAAGGAUUUUCUGGUUUCCGGACAAUUCCUGCGUAUAAAUCUAUCGAUCUCUACCAAAACUGUAUCACAAUGUUCGAUACUAAACAUGGAAGGUUGUGAUUGAUUUUGGGGGUAGUGGCCUUCACUGUUUUGGAAAACAAAUCUAAGACAUUGCAUCAAUUGCUCAUUUCUUGAACAAAUUUGUUGUUUGAUAUGCUGAAUUUAAAUUUUUUAGGUUUGUAAUUAUAUUUUGAAUAUAGGACCAUUUUAGUUCUAGUUUCAAAUAUUUAAGUUUGUACCCCACAUUCCUUCUGUGUCAAGUAUUUAAUCACAACCGAACCCAAAGCUUCACCAAGCUUCAUGUUAUUUCCAUACUUGCUGCAACUGUUUGGAGUUCAACAUCUGUGGUUUAUCAAGCUUGCAAAACAUUUAAUUCGAAUUUUUCUUUUGCAAUUCAUUAAAUCCUAUAAUUUGUAACGUGUAAGAAAAUUGUCAUUUUUAUGGGAAAUUUAUUUUUGAAUGUUUGAUUUUUAUCCCCAUAACUUUUUAAUGUAUUGCGUAUUCGCCGUUACUGCAACAAUUUCAUGAUAUAUUUAUUCAAUGACGGCAAAUCUUAAUACUUUUAUCAAACAUCAAGAAUUCUGUCUUAUUAUAUCAUUGUGAACAUCGCUUUUACUAAAUCGGUUUGCAAAUUAUUCGUGUUUGAUUUAGACCAAAUUUAGUAUAUCUUGGUAGGUUUAAAAUUUUCAAUAAACUAAUUAAGGUGGUACCUAACACUUUAACUAAAAUUAAUUUGGCUCGUGUUAUUUUCUUAAAAUUUUUACAAAGUAUUUACUUUAACCCUUUUACAAAAAUAUAAAAAAUUCAAAAAAUUUGAACCAACCGUUUUAUCAGAAAAAUUACACAGGUUUUUUAGCAGUUUGACAAACACUUAUUUUGAACAUUGAGAAGCUUAAUAUUCCCUUAUGAACACAACGUCAUUAAAACGUUCUGCUGAUUUUACAGAGUUAUCUCCAUGUAGUGUUAGGUACCACCUUAAGUUAAACGUCCAUUGAUAAUUCACCGAAUAAAGGAGGAUUAGGACUAUACGUCAAUGACACAGCAGAAUAUUUAGUUCUAUAGAAAGUUGGUUUAAACAUUUGUCAUUAUUCUGAAUUCUAUUAUCAUCCUAUAAUAUACAUUAAUCUUCCAGUCAUCGGAAACGUAUACAUAUUCCAUUAUGAUUUCAUUGUUUUUUUUAUUUGACCUGUUCGUUGUACUGUUUUUCUUUCGAAACCCCUUUCCGAUCAUUGGCAAACUUGUGUUCUGUGUCUCUUAUUACGAUUUAGACACUUAGUUCGCAAAGCAAAAACGAGAUUGUUUUGUUAGUAUCUUUUGAAUCUAAUUUUGAUUUCCUCAACUAACAAUAAUUGAUAUUUGAACUAAUUAAUAUCUAUAACAUGUCCACAAAUAUGUAUCUUUCAUAAUCAGCGAGUAUGUUAUUUUCUUGGCUAUGUGGCGUUUACUGUCAUAUAUGGUAGCUAAAUUACUGAGGUCUUAAUUCUAUGUUUACCUUUUAUACCCACAACUUUUGAUAUAAUUACUGAACAUCAGUGAACUAACUUUUUGUUCAUUGACAAGUUCCAAAACCUAAAAUUUAGAAAAACAGCUUCUCUUGUGAAGUAUAUCAACCACACUAAAAUACUAAUAUUCGCUUGCUGAAGAAUUUUACAAUCUUAUAUCUUCCAUCAAAUUUAGAAUUUGAAAAAAUAUUCAUUUUCCAAAAGGUUCAGACAUCAUGUAAAGUAAACAUCAAAGGUGAACUACACAACUCAAUUGAAGGACACCAAAUGGUUCUAUGUCGAUAUAUACUCAUUAGCUUCAACAAAAGUGUCAUAUGCCCACUAUAAGAAGAAACUUUAGAUAAAGCAAUUAAAACUAAACGUAGAAACACAAUGAAGGCUGUGACUUCCCAAAUCAUUAAAUACUUUUUCCAAAUUCAUGAAAAAGUGUUCGUCGGACGAACAAGUAUUUGGUUAGGCAUCGAAUGCACUUGUGAGACAUCAAAAGAUAUCAGUUAUGAAGAUUGUCUGUAUUCCUCUUCAAAGCCCAAAAUAAUAAUUGAAAGAUAUCCAUCACUCUUAAAAGAAACUUUGUAGAUGAGAUCGAUGUUCCUCGGUUUCUCGAUAAGGAUCAUAGAAACGAACUCUAAAGAAGCAAGAUUUGUUGCAAAUCGGAUUUUUUUAAAUUCUAGGACUCAAUGUGUGAUCUGAAAACCGAACCAAAGAAUAUUAUUGUCAGAACCGGUACACAUAUUCAAUCGAGGGGAAUCAAGAUGUAUAAUCAGCUAUGCAUCUAUGGAAUGGAGUUUCGAGAAGGAGAUUCGGGGACUUGUGUUUAUGUUCAUACUCCGGGUUACGAAAGACUAACUGGUUGUAUCGGGAUGUUAAUAGGAAAGCCAACGUGCGAAAACUAUGUGUUAACACCGAUGAAAGAAAUACUGAAAAUAUUUGAGUUGUAAAAUAAAUUUUCGGAUUCUUAUCUUUAAUUUUUGCUUAUAUGCUUGAUCUAUAUGCUAUUGUGUGCCUUUUUUACAUUUUUGUUUGUUUGUGUAUGUUUGUCAUUUUUAAUUAUUAUGUCUGUUUGUUUGUAUCACGCAUCGUUGUCAUAUAAUGGAAUUUGAAGAAACUGUCAUACAAGUGAGAGGUUUAUUUAGCUAUAAAACCAGGUUUAAUCCACCAAGACUAUCCGUUAUGGAUUUUCCUCGAAGUUCAGUAUUUUUGUAAAUUUACUUUUUUAUGUAAUACUCAAAUGUAAUAAUUAUGCGAAAGAAUUUCCAUGACGCGUUUGUUUAAAGUUUCAAAAUAACGUAUGUAUACUUCUACUAAAGUGAUUAGAGAAGUAUGGGUUCAAGUUUGUGCAAAUUGACCAUAAAUAUUUAGUCUCGAAGCUAUGAUGUAAAUAUUGAGAUUGACAUUAUCUAACUGUAGCAUGACAUCGUAACUUUAUUAAACUAUCUUUAGAAUUAAUGUUUUUAUUUUUAUCAUAAAAAAAUGUGAGAAAAAUUAAUAUGAGACAAUAAAAACAACAAGUAGACUAAAUAGAAAACAAAGGACUGAAAAUAGGACACGAAGGAGCAAAAUGAACUUACAUAAAUCGUGGUGAAUAUAGGUACUGCAAAAAA